AUGGCAGGAAAUGACAUUGUGAAGGAGUUGGCAGCUUCACGACACCACUCGAUUAUAGAUCAAGAACUCAUAAGUAUCAAUGGAAUUGGCCGUCUCUGCAGUUGGGAUAGGUCUUCGGCCGGUGGACUUGCUGUACUUUUUGCUGGAGUGGGAUUUUUCUGUGGUACGGCUGGUGCUAUGACAACUGAAAUCGGCAUACCUUUUGCUGGGGUGCAGGUCCUGUGUGGUGGGGCUAGUGGUGUGGCCAGUGAAGUAUGGGCACAGUCUGCUGGAGUCGGUCCUACGUUUUGUGUCACUGGUUGUACAACCAAUAUAAGUGGGGUGCUGUCUGAUUUCUUCGGCACAACCAUGUUUUUCAAGGACUUUGCUGGUGCUCCUUCUGAUGGAAUAUGUAUUGAUAAUGGAUGGGCAUGGCAUCUCGACAUAUAUGAUGAGUAA
rnacentral:rRNA from 1 species